AAAGGGCAAAAAUUACACAAGGAUUGGGAAAAGAAGAUGGAGAACUACUUCGUACUUGUGCAGGAAGAAAUGGCAGGAACCAGUGCAGAAGGUAUUAUUUUUAAAAAUUCUAUAAAAUUAAUUUUUUAAUAUUCUUUUUAAAAAAGUAAUUAUUUAAACAAAAAUUUAAAUUUCUUAUUUCUUUCAAAAGGAGCCACAAAAGAUUCUACGCCAACAAAACAUAGCACGCCACAAACGGAAACAACGCCAAAGAAGAAAACAAAAUCGCAGAAAGAUUCCACAGUUAAGGCAAAGAGAAGAGUUUCUUUUGGAUAUCCGACAACUGGAGGAGGUGCUGAGGAUACCGAAACCCAGAUACAGCAUACAAUAUUGCCGAUUGAUUCAACACUGCAAGCAGCGACACUUCAAACAGAAUCAGCCCAGAGGCACCCACCCACGGUGCAGGAAGAAACAUCAUCCCAACAGCCACUUCCAGAAGAAAAUUCAUCACAGGGGCACC